UGAUAGAUUUAGUGGUGCCAAUGACUAUGGCAAUGAUGAGGAAAUGUUGGACAUUCUGUUUUCCAAUGUUGAUGGCAGUGGUGAAACCUCACAGCAGUACCAGGGAGAUGACACCACAACUUACCAAACCCCGUCUUUGCAAGAGGCAGAGGUUUUAUACAUGCAAACAGAAACUGAUGUGGAAUCACAGCAGCAAGAUGCGAGAAAGAAACAAGUUAAGAGAAGAAAAACUAGACCAACAAACCAAUCGAGUCAAGAACUAGAGCAUAUAGAUUCACUCCAGCAAGAUUACAUCCCUAAUCACCUAAGUAGUGACAAUGGCUCAUCAGAUGAAGAAAAUGAUGAAUUCAAAGGGAGAUACAAGGAUUUUGUCCUAGAGAAAUUUCUCAAAGAUCCCAAAUUCGAGAUUGGAAUGAAAUUUGACUCAAGAGUUUAAUUCAAAUCUAUUGUUACUGAGUAUGGGAUUAGGAUGGGUAAACAUGUUUGGACCUGUACAAAUGAACCCAUCAGGGUGAGGGCCAAGUGUAGAAAGCCAUGUAAAUGGUUUGUAUUUGGUUCAAUAAAGAAGACUCUUAGCACAAAAGAUUUGGUAGUAAAAACUAUGUAUGAUGUUCAUGAAACAUGCAACCAUGCAUGAAAAAAUAAGAGUAGUACUACUAAGUGGUUGUCUAAUAGGUAUGUAGAGAAAAUAAGAUCAAACAACAAUCUGCCAACCAGAGAGUUACGGCAAAUGGUCCACUAAGACUAUAAGACAAAAAUCUCUAAGCAUGUUGCAGCUAAGACAACGACACUAGCCAUUGAGAAGAUUAAGGGGUCAGCUGAGUCACGGUACAAGAAAAGAUAGUAGUAUUGUGAAGAUAUUAAGAGGACUCAUCUUGGCAGUACAAUAGAUGUUAUGUUCACUCCAUUUAGAGAACCUGGAGGUAAUCCAAGGUCCAUGAGGAUGUACUGCUAUCUUAACCCACUGAAGAAAGGAUUUAAAGAUGGAUGCAGAUUUAUUUUGUGUUUGGAUGGGUGUCAUAUUAAAGGUAAAAAUUCAAGCCAACUGCUAACUGCUAUUGCUGUAGAUCCCAACAAUGGCAAUUGGCCAGUUGCAUGGGUAGCUGUUGAGAAGGAGGCUAUGGAGCAAUGGAGAUGAUUCUUGACCAUCUUGAGUGGCAACUUGGAAAUAGAAAAUCAGGGACAUUAUACUUUAAUGUCUGACCAACAAAAGGGACUGGAUAUGGCACUUGCUGAGGUUCUCCCAAAUUUUGAGCACGGACACUGUGUUCAACACAUAGAUAGAAAUUUCAAGAAGAAAUAUUCAAGAUUAGGUUUAAAAGACAGAUUGUGAAAUAUAGCAAGUUACACAAUAAUUGAACAUUUCAACAAAACCAUAAAUGAGAUUGAAGAAUAUGACAAAGAAGCACAUGCAUGGCUGAAGAAGAUAUCACGCUCUAGUCAUUGGUGUGAGGCCUUUUUUCCAAGACAUACAUAGUGUGAUAUACUGGUUAAUUACUUGUGUGAAUUAUUUAAUGGCCAUAUUUUAGAGGCUAGGGAAUAGCCUAUUAUUUUAUGAUGGAGGCCAUUAGAGAAUAUCUAAUGGAAAAUAUCCAAAAGAGAAGGACAACAAUAGAAAAAUACAAGUUAGAUGGUGGACCACUCAUUAGAGAUAUUGUGGAAGAAAGAGUUAAACGUGCAACACAAUGGGAGAUAACAUGGAAUGCAAAAACAAGUUAUCAAGCAAAAGGGCCACGGGAAGCCCAAUUGGUUGUUGACCUUGAGAAGAAUGAGUGUGCAUGCAAUUUAUGAGCUUGAGUGGCAUUCCAUGUUGUCAUGCAAUUGGUGUUCUACAUAGAACUAAUAAGGACCCACACAAGAUAUUGGCUGACUGCUGUCGCAGGGAGUUUUUCUUUACCAUCUAUGAUAAUGUAUUGUAGCCUAUUAAUGGAGACAUUCAAUAGUCACAAUUAGAUAUGCUGGAGGUGGACCCACUAGCAAGUGUCACUCAACCUGGCAGGCUAAAGAAAGUUUGGAGGAGAGAUGUUACAAAAGGAAAAGAUCAUGACAAAAGGUUGCGAAGGAAGAUUGUUAUCCAUUGUAGAAAGUGUAGAAGGAUUGGGCAUAAUGCUGUGACUUGCAAGAAUCCUCCUAAAUCAUCUAAUGUACAACAAACUUCUUAACAACCAGCAGCUACUGAACAACCAUGUAAUUAGCAGCAACAAGCUCCAACAAAAAGACAUGUAAGCAACAACUAGGGACAAAGAAAGUAG